GAAGUGUCUAGGCGAUCCUGGUGUCGAGGGCUACAAUUCCUACCGAUCAAUUUCUUGAUUUGAGCGGGGUUUUCUAGAGUUUCCUUGUGGUGCAAGCAUUGGUCGGAGUUUCUUUGAACUGUGCGUUUUGAUCUAAGAGAGGAUUGAUUCAUGUGGUGAAAGUAGUAGGAGGUCCUAGUGUAGGCGCUACUUGGAGGCCUAUUGUGCGGUAACGGAGGGUGAAACCCAUGACAAUGACUUUGCAAAGCUGUACAGGCCACCACAAAUGUACAACCCGCCAUAGCUCGAUAUUCAUUCUAAGUCCGGACAGUCAAGUCUAAGUUAUGACAUGUUUAAGAUGUUUGAAAUUAAUUUAUAUCAUAUGAAUGAGUUAAGUUUUUAUUGUACAUUAUACUAAAGUAUGAAUCUUUUAUAUCUUUCUUAUCCUUCUGUCUGUGUUUGUCUUUGUAUGUGGCUAUAUUUCUUUGUUUGGCUAUGAUCAUCCGCUGGGUGUGAGCAGAGGGAGAUGAGAUCUCUGUGGUGAAGGUGCAUGAUGGGAAAAA